rnacentral:rRNA from 1 species
GACGAACGCUGGCGGCGUGCUUAACACAUGCAAGUCGAACGGAAGGGCCCUGCUUGCAGGGUACUCGAGUGGCGAACGGGUGAGUAACACGUGGGUGAUCUGCCCUGCACUUCGGGAUAAGCCUGGGAAACUGGGUCUAAUACCGGAUAGGAGCCAUUUUUAGUGUGAUGGUUGGAAAGUUUUUUCGGUGUAGGAUGAGCUCGCGGCCUAUCAGCUUGUUGGUGGGGUAAUGGCCUACCAAGGCGGCGACGGGUAGCCGGCCCGAGAGGGUGGACGGCAACAUUGAGACUGAGACUCGGACCCGACUCCUACGGGAGGCAGAAGUGGGGAAGAGGGAUCUAGGGGAGCAAGCCUGAUGCAGAGACGCCGCGGGGGGGAUGACGGUCUUCGGGUUGGAAACGCAUUUCGCUAGGGACGAAGCUUUUUGUGACGGUACCUAGAGAAGAAGCACCGGCUAACUACGUG